rnacentral:tRNA from 1 species
GCCUCUAUAGUGUUAAUAGGUAGCAUCUCCGACUGUUAAUCGGGCGGUGUAGGUUCGAUUCCUACUGGAGGCG